rnacentral:rRNA from 1 species
UACGUAGGGGGCAAGCGUUGUCCGGAAUCAUUGGGCGUAAAGCGCGUGUAGGCGGCCCGAUAAGUCCGCUGUGAAAGUCCAGGGCUCAACCCUGGGAUGCCGGUGGAUACUGUCGGGCUCGAGUCCGGAAGAGGCGAGUGGAAUUCCUGGUGUAGCGGUGAAAUGCGCAGAUAUCAGAAGGAACACCAAUGGCGAAGGCAGCUCGCUGGGACGUGACUGACGCUGAGACGCGAAAGCGUGGGGAGCAAACAGG